ACACCUCAACUCCCGUGGUUCGCCACGGUGAGCUUGGACUCUGGGGGUUUUGCUGGCCUGUGGUCGGCUCCUCUCAAAUGAAUUAGCCUGCCAGUGUUUGGUGGCGUCACGGGUGUGAUAAAUAUCUACGCUUGCGAUUGCCCACCAGGUAACCUUCAGCGAUGGGGGUUCGCUGGGGCUCAUAGACGUCUCUCCUCGGUGAGGACAGCUUUGAAC
rnacentral:misc_RNA from 1 species